GACGUAGGAUGCGAGCGUUGUCCGGAAUUAUUGGGCGUAAAGAGUUCGUAGGCGGCGUACCAAGUCUGAUGUUAAAGCCCGGGGCUUAACCCCGGAUCGGCAUUGGAUACUGGUAUGCUAGAGUGCAGAAGAGGCAAGGGGAAUUCCCAGUGUAGCGGUGAAAUGCGUAGAUAUUGGGAGGAACACCAGUGGCGUAAGCGCCUUGCUGGGCUGUUACUGACGCUGAGGAACGAAAGCCAGGGGAG
rnacentral:rRNA from 1 species